UAUUUGCUUCCAACUGUGAUGCCCUGGGAAUUUAUGACAGCGUUGACUAUUGUUAUCUUACACCUUUUUAUUGUAAUUAGUGCAGAUCACCCUCACAGAUCAAUUCCUUCAUUGGGAAUAAAUGCUGCAAUAGUCUUUCUCCUCCCCCUGCCCCACGCAGUGUCCCCCUGGUGUGGACACUGAGGGACUAGAGCUUUGGGAAACAUUAACAAUGUUCAUUUAAUUGGCUGGUUGCCUCUAGAGAGAUGUCUGGGGAUGUGCAAAAUUAUGUUUGUGCUUACUGGGAGGGGUGAAGCCCAUUCAGUGACUUUGGCAGGUGCUGCCUGCAGAAGUGCCAGACUCUAUUGACCUGGUCCAGGGGACAAUGGUGGCUUCCUUCCCUGGAACAGGACACUGGUGGUGGGACCCUGGACCUGCCCCAGAGGCAGCAUGGAUGGAAGGUUACGACUGUUUGCCCUUGCCAGAGCUCUAUCUGAAAUCAGCUUGGUAACUCCCCUGAAAUUUCCCAAGACUAGCAGAACACAUGCUAUUCUUAGGAGUGUUUGUGUUCCUUAAGAGAAUAAAAGCCUCUGUCACACGGUGGCUGCUGUAUCACCUUUGUAAUGCUCUAGUCCUUUUCCAUUUUCAGAGUUCCUGAGAAUUUCCCCCAAGCACUCUCACCUCAUGAGAUUUAUUCAAUGAGCAGGUCCAUUUAUUUUAUUCAACAUAUACAUUCCAACAUGUGUCAGGCACUGGGUUUGACUUUGAGGGUAGAGUAUGGAGGAAUAGCAUUAUCAGGUAGUUUUGUCUCAGUGGAACUUUCAGUAUAGUGGGGAGUCAUAAUAUUUAAGAUAGCAUUGUGAUGAGCAGUGAGUUAGGGGACAUCCAUGAAGGUGUAGGGCACAGAGGAGGUGGUGGAUUUGGGGAUCAGAGGGGCUGACCUGAUGGUCAUUCUAAAGGAUGAAAAGCUGUGAUUUAGGUGAAGAAAAAGAUGGGGGUUGGGUUGUAACUCUGAAGGCUGUGCCACUGCAUGUGGGAUGGAUCUCUUGAAGACAGCAUACUGUUGGAUCUUGCUUCUUAAUCCAACUUGCCACUCUGUGCCUUUUAAUUGGGGCAUUUAGCCCAUUUACAUUAAAGGUUAAUAUUGAUAUCUGUGGAUUCGAUCCUGUCAUUAUGUUGUUAGCUGAUUAUUAUGCAGACUUGUUUGUGUGGUUGCUCUGAAGGAUAAAAAGCUGUGCUCCAUGAGAAGAGGUAGAAAAUGGGUGGGGUGGUGGGGAAGAGAAAUGUCUACUGGAAGCAGCAGCACAUGAGAUGUCUUGGAGGGAAGAGGGAAAACAGUGGGCUGGAAGAACAGUUUGACUGCAAAGAGGUAAAGAAAAGGUCAAAGAGGUGAGCAGGACCAAGUCAUGAAGAGUUUCAUCACUUCCUGAUGUAAUGUUCCAAUGCUGACAGCAGUUGUGGACUCCAUGAAUAAUGACUCUAGGUCUCAGAGUCUAGGAUAAUAGACUCCAAUCAGGACUGUCUCAGACAAACCAGUGUAUAGGGUCACUAUAUUCAAAAAUCAUGUCCAGGAGCUUUGAUUUCUAGGAUUUUAUCCCAAGGUCUCUUGAAAGCAAAUGAGAAGAUCAGCUUUACACCUUAGGAAGAUCUCAGUCUCCUGUGGUUGAUGGUUUGGAUGGGGGCAAAAAUGAUGGAGAGGGAUAGGAGGACCCUGUGUCUUCCAUGAGGUAGGCUGGGGCAUACAGUAGAUAGGAUUUGCUCCAUUUUGC
rnacentral:lncRNA from 1 species